AAAAAAAAAAAAAAAAAAAAAAGAUAAAACCCUAAAAACUAAUAAAAAAAGCUGGAAUGGGCUGCGCUCCUACCUAACGCCCAAAUACAUAUUUGACUAAAAAUAAUUAAAUAAAAUCAUUUAGCCUUGUCCUAAAUAAAAAAAAAAAAACACACUAAAUUUGCAUAAAAAUCCAUCAAUUCUGUCCAAAUAUUUCUUGAUCAUCACCCACGCAAACUUGGAUCAAAUUAAGCC
rnacentral:misc_RNA from 1 species